AAACAGAUAACAAAAUUAAACGACUGUUGCUCCUCCAGUUUCCUCUUAAAAAAGGAAAUAGAAAACCACCCUAGACAAAAUAAUAGCAAUUAACAGAAGCAGAGAAGAUCGAACCCUAGAACUCAAAAAGCAUAAGAAGAAAACCAGAGAAAACCCUAGGUUUGUGGCUCUGUAUUAUGGUGUCAAUUAAAUGAGAUUUGAGGA
rnacentral:misc_RNA from 1 species